rnacentral:rRNA from 1 species
UUCCGGUUGAUCCUGCCGGAGGUCACUGCUAUUGGGAUUCGGCUAAGCCAUGCAAGCGGAGGGCGCGGUCGAAAGAUCGUGGCCCCGCACACUGCUCAGUAACACGUAGUCAACCUACCCUUGGGACGGGGACAACCUCGGGAAACUGAGGCUAAUACCCGAUAGGUGAGGGACGCUGGGAUGCCUCCUCGCCCAAAGCUCCGGCGCCCAAGGAUGGGACUGCGGUCUAUCAGGCUGUUGGUGGUGUAACGGACCACCAAACCUACGACGGGUACGGGCGAUGGGAGUCGGAGCCCGGAGAUGGGAACUGAGACAAGGCCCCAGGCCCUACGGGGCGCAGCAGGCGCGAAAACUCCGCAAUGCGCGCAAGCGUGACGGGGGGAUCCCAAGUGCCGUUGGUCUUUCGAUCGACGGUUUUUAGGAAGUCUAAGAAGCUUCCAGAAUAAGGGCUGGGCAAGACUGGUGCCAGCCGCCGCGGUAACACCAGCAGCCCAAGUGGUGGCCACGAUUAUUGGGCCUAAAGCGCUCGUAGCCGGAUCAGCAAGUCCCUUGUGAAAUCGGGCCGCCUAACGGUUCGGCGUGCAAGGGAUACUGUUGGUCUUGAGGCCGGGAGAGGUCGGAGGUACUCCUGGGGUAGCGGUGAAAUGCUCUAAUCCUAGGGGGACCACCAGUGGCGAAGGCGUCCGACCAGAACGGACCUGACGGUGAGGGGCGAAGGCUAGGGGAGCGAACGGGAUUAGAUACCCCGGUAGUCCUAGCUGUAAAGCAUGCGGGCCAGGUGUCUAGCGCUCCUUGAGGGCACUAGGUGCCGGAGGGAAGCCGUUAAGCCCGCCGCCUGGGAAGUACGGCCGCAAGGCUGAGACUUAAAGAAAUUGGCGGGGGAGCACCACAAGAGGUGGGACCUGCGGUUCAAUUGGAAUCAACGCCGGU